GAUGAACGCUGGCGGCGUGCCUAACACAUGCAAGUCGAGCGAUCUUCUUCGGAAGAGAGCGGCGGACGGGUGAGUAACGCGUGGGUAACCUGCCCUGUACACACGGAUAACAUACCGAAAGGUAUGCUAAUACGGGAUAAUAUGCUUUUAUCGCAUGGUAGAAGUAUCAAAGCUCCGGCGGUACAGGAUGGACCCGCGUCUGAUUAGCUAGUUGGUAAGGUAACGGCUUAUCAAGGCGACGAUCAGUAGCCGACCUGAGAGGGUGAUCGGCCACAUUGGAACUGAGACACGGUCCAAACUCCUACGGGAAGCAGCAGUGGGGAAUAUUGCACAAUGGGCGAAAGCCUGAUGCAGCAACGCCGCGUGAGCGAUGAAGGCCUUCGGGUCGUAAAGCUCUGUCCUCAAGGAAGAUAAUGACGGUACUUGAGGAGGAAGCCCCGGCUAACUACGUGCCAGCCGCCGCGGUAA
rnacentral:rRNA from 1 species